AUUGAACGCUGGCGGCAUGCUUUACACAUGCAAGUCGAACGGUAACAGGGUGCUUGCACCGCUGACGAGUGGCGAACGGGAGAGUAAUGCGUAGGAAGCUGCCCGAUAGAGGGGGAUACCAGUUGGAAACGACUGUUAAUACCGCAUAAUGUCUACGGACCAAAGUGUGGGACCUUCGGGCCACAUGCUAUCGGAUGCGCCUACGUGGGAUUAGCUAGUUGGUGAGGUAAUGGCUCACCAAGGCGACGAUCUCUAGCUGGUUUGAGAGGAUGAUCAGCCACACUGGAACUGAGACACGGUCCAGACUCCUACGGGAGGCAGCAGUGGGGAAUAUUGGACAAUGGGCGCAAGCCUGAUCCAGCCAUGCCGCGUGUGUGAAGAAGGCCUUCGGGUUGUAAAGCACUUUCAGCGAGGAGGAAGGGGUGUGUGUUAAUAGUACACACCUUUGACGUUACUCGCAGAAGAAGCACCGGCUAACUCUGUGCCAGCCGCCGCUGUAAAAC
rnacentral:rRNA from 1 species